rnacentral:rRNA from 1 species
AACGAACGCUGGCGGCAUGCCUAACACAUGCAAGUCGAACGAGACCUUCGGGUCUAGUGGCGCACGGGUGCGUAACGCGUGGGAACCUGCCCUUAGGUUCGGAAUAACUCCCCGAAAGGGGUGCUAAUACCGGAUAAUGUCUUCGGACCAAAGAUUUAUCGCCUUUGGAUGGGCCCGCGUUGGAUUAGCUAGUUGGUAGGGUAAAAGCCUACCAAGGCGACGAUCCAUAGCUGGUCUGAGAGGAUGAUCAGCCACGCUGGGACUGAGACACGGCCCAGACUCCUACGGGAGGCAGCAGUGGGGAAUAUUGGACAAUGGGCGAAAGCCUGAUCCAGCCAUGCCGCGUGAGUGAUGAAGGCCUUAGGGUUGUAAAGCUCUUUUACCCGGGACGAUAAUGACAGUACCGGGAGAAUAAGCUCCGGCUAACUCCGUG